AACGCGAAGAACCUUACCAGGGCUUGACAUACACAGGAAUGUCGGGGAAACUCGGCAGCCCUUCGGGGCCUGUGCACAGGUGCUGCAUGGCUGUCGUCAGCUCGUGCCGUGAGGUGUUGGGUUAAGUCCCGCAACGAGCGCAACCCUCGUCGCUAGUUGAAUUUCUCUAGCGAGACCGCUGCGCGAAACGCAGAGGAAGGUGGGGAUGACGUCAAGUCAGCACGGCCCUUACGUCCUGGGCUACACACACGCUACAAUGGGCGCUACAAUGGGUUGCCAAGUCGCGAGGCGGAGCUAAUCCCAUCAAAGGCGUCCUCAGUUCAGAUCGCAGGCUGAAACCCGCCUGCGUGAAGGCGGAGUUGCUAGUAACCGCAGGUCAGCACACUGCGGUGAAUACGUUCCCGGGCCUUGUACACACCGCUCGUC
rnacentral:rRNA from 1 species